rnacentral:lncRNA from 1 species
GUGAUGCUUAUGUAACAUGAAUUAAAACUGAGAUAUUAAAUACCUUGAGGUAUUGGUGUUGGUUGGCUACUGUGGGUGGAUUAAGUGGAAGGAAUCUGAAAUAAAUCAUACUUAUUCAUUUCAGUAAAUGCAGGUUGAAAUUGGAAGAAGAUGAUGAUUCAAUACUAAUCUUUACCUUAAUGUUUCUGGCAGAGUAAUGAAUGAAAGUUCUCCUUUAGUAUCUCGAUUGUUGAGGUGUUUCUGGACUGAGAUAACUGAAAUGAAUUAAUAUAUUGAUGUUUCUUUGAUGAUUGCAGGUGGAACAAGAUGGUGGAGUGGAGAGCUAAGUGGAGGAUGAGGGAAUUAUUGGUGUUCUUGGAUGGAGUCGACUAAGUGGAAGAAUUAUUGUAGUGGCUUGUCAAAUAUAAUGCUUACAAAAUGUAAUGGUGACAAAAUAAGUGCUUGACAAAUUUUAGUGGUGUAAAUAAGUGGGAAACAAAGGCUUAUGGAAAGAAAAAGAAAUAAUAAAAAAAUAUGUAAAGAAGAAUUAAUGAUGUAUUUUCUAUGUCUCGAUGAUUCUGUAACUGUGAUAAAAUACUGGCUUCGAUUCUGCUUGAUACUAUUUUUACAUAAAUAUCGAUUUCGA